CCCGUUUACAAGUCCCCACCACCUCCAACUCCUGUUUACAAGUCGCCACCACCACCUAAGACGCCACACUACCCUCCACAUACCCCAGUUUAUAAGUCUCCUCCUCCACGCCAUCAUCACCCCGUUUACAAGUCUCCACCACCUCCAACUCCUGUUUACAAAUCACCACCACCACCCAAGGACCCACACUACCCUCCACACACCCCAAUUUACAAGUCACCACCACCACCCAAAGAACCACACUACCCACCACAUACCCCAGUGUACAAGUCUCCACCACCACCAACUCCAGUAUACAAGUCACCACCACCACCCAAGAGGCCAUACCAUCCUCCACCAACACCAUAUCAUCCCACACCAGUUUAUAAGUCUCCACCACCACCAACUCCAGUGUACAAGUCACCACCACCCCCAACUCCCGUUUACAAAUCACCACCACCACCAGUGAAGCCAUACCAUCCCGCACCAGUAUACAAGUCUCCACCACCCCCAACUCCCAUUUACAAAUCACCACCACCACCAGUGAAGCCAUACCAUCCUAAACCUGUGUACAAGUCUCCACCACCACCAGUGAAGCCAUAUCAUCCUACACCCGUCUACAAGUCUCCACCACCACCAACUCCCGUCUACAAGUCACCACCACCACCAGUGAAGCCAUACCAUCCUACACCCGUCUACAAGUCUCCACCACCACCAACUCCCGUCUACAAGUCGCCACCACCACCAGUGAAGCCAUACCAUCCUACACCCGUAUACAAGUCUCCACCACCACCAACUCCCGUUUACAAGUCACCACCACCACCAGUGAAGCCAUAUCAUCCCUCACCAACACCAUACCACCCUACACCAGUAUACAAGUCUCCACCACCACCAACUCCCGUUUACAAGUCCCCACCACCACCAGUAAAGCCAUACCACCCUUCACCAACACCAUACCAUCCUAAACCAGUAUACAAGUCUCCACCACCACCAACUCCAGUCUACAAGUCUCCACCACCAACCCACUAUGUUUACUCCUCUCCCCCUCCUCCCUACCAUUACUAAGAAGUGAGUUUACUAUAUCUGAGGUAAUUAAGAUGAACUUAAACCUUUACAAACAUAUAUAACUAAAAUGCAAUGCAAUAAUAAGUUGCACAAUUAUUUCUUCUCUUUUGGUUAGUUUCUUUUAUAUGUUCUCAUUCACAAUAUUAUAUUGUUAUGCAGGAAAAGCAUAAUGUUGAGCUGAAAGAAAGGCAUUUUCCAUUUUCAAGAAGAAAAUUAUAGUAAAUAAUAAGGCUUACAGAAGAUCAGACGAAGUUCUUUUGUAGCUUCAUGUUAUCUAACUUGUCUUAGUGAUAUAUUGUUUUUGUACUCUAUUUUUAUAUAUUACUUUUAUGUGUCUUUGUGUAUGUUUGCUCACUUUCAAUCUUCUUGCAAAAUGCAGAGAUUAAUUAUGAGAUUAUCAUGAAUAAAAUAAGUUAUUACUACUCCCAUAUGUUUUAAUUAACUUCUCAUCACAAUAUAUAUUACCUUUGUUUUCAUUUUAUCAUGUGCUCAUAUUUAAUUUAUAAAAUUAUAAUGUGAACACAACAUUUACAAUUUUUUUCAAAUAGAACUAUUUAUAUAUAUAUAUAUAUAUAUAUAUAUAUAUAUAUAUAUAUAUAACAGGAUGCUCAAAUUAAUAACCAACGAAUUUCAUGUACUUAUGGUUAUAAUUCAAUCAAAUUCGAGUAUUGUAGUCCAUUUACGAUAACAAAAUAAAAAAAUUAUUUAAUAAUCACAUAAUACGUUGUUAAACUUUUGUAAAGUAUAUGAUUUCAGAAGCUCAAACAAAAAAUUACAAUCCAAAUAUUUUAAAAAUAAUAGUUUAAAAUUUUCACGCAUCACAUAAAUAUAUAUACUUACUCCAAGCCUAUCCUAUCCGAAAUUUUCAGCUAUUGAUGUAGCCUCUUGUCGAUACUACUAGUCUUCUCGCUACCUACUAGAAAAAUUCCAUCAAAAUAGAUUGAAUCGACGACCUAUACUUCAACUAAAGGCACGAGGGCGUAGCGAGCUUAACUAUUAUCGUAAUAUAAGAUGAAAUCCACCCAUUUUGAUAUCACAUACACGUCUUUAAAACUGAUAAAAUAAUGAGGUCUACUCUUAGUCAAAAUUAAAUGAUUGUAGACCACAUCUACAGUUCCCAAUUGUCAACAAUUCGAUCCUCCGCGUUUGUGGUAGGUUUCACUUUCAUUUCUUCGGUUCGAUUUUAUCAAAUUUUAAUUUGAUUCUUUAAUUUUUAAUUUUGGAAAAAUGUGUAUGGAAUGUUGAAUCGAAUUAAUUUGUUUAAUUAUCUUUUUAAAAAAUUAGUUUAAAACAAAAAUUGAAUUUCAAUAAAAUUUAAUGAAAAAAUUAUUCAAAUUGAUUAGGUAACCUUUUAAGUCAAAUAUCAAUAGUUGAAUAAUUUUAUAGGUAAAAUAUUCAUAAUUGAGUGACUUUGAGAUCAUACAAGAAAAUUGAGUGACUUUAUAAGAGAAAAAAUCUUAGUUAAAAUAAUUUUUUAUGAGAAAAAAUUCUUAAGUAACUUUAUGGCAUUAUAAAAAAAAAUUAACUCCUCUUUAAAUUAGAAUUACAAAAUUAAAAGUAAGUUCCAUUUUAAAGAUAAGGACAUUAUUAGUAAAAAUAAUUGGUGAACAUUUUCCAAUGAAAAAAUAAUAUUUUUCUAAAAUAGCUAAUAGAUGAUAAUUCGUUUCUUAGGCGUAAAAAUGUUAGGACAUGUUAGCCUCACUCAGUUGAAUAAAUUGCUCACCAAGAACAUAAUCAUUGAAUAUCCUAAAACAAAGUUUAAAAAUGAAUUAAAAAAAAAAUCAGUAAUAAAAAAAUACAUGCAAACUAUCUACAAAUGUAUUAUUAUUAAUUUUUAAAUAAAAAAGAGUAAAUGAAAGAGAAUAGAAGAUCUUUGACUUGUUAAUUAAGACAAAUAUUUGUCUAAUAUAAGUAUGUCGGUAAUAACAAUGUAGACUAAGAUCUGUACUUGUUUAUAUAUCCAUAUCCCUUAAUGUUAGGACCAUUAAAAUUAUUAAUUUAGUUUAACUAAUUAAUGGGAUCUUAUAAAUACAUUAAUAAUAUUACUGUUGUCGGUGAUUAAGUUAAUGCUAAUACUUAAUUGUUUUUUUUUUCCAAUUAAAAUGUCAAAGUCGUUAGAUGAACCAAAAUGGAAUCGUCCAUGAAGAUGGUACCAGAGUACAAUUAUUGAAUAAUAUCUUUUUUUUUUAACUUCAAAAAUUAAAGUGGAAUUCAAUUACCUACUUUAUAAAUGUAUGGCAACUUGGCAAUAAUUCAUUAAAUUUCAGGAAGAACAAAAACCAUCGAUAAUUGAGAUUAAUUUAAGAGAUAAAUGUCAAAAACACAUUUAAUAUAUUACAUAUUUUAAAAAAAUUCAUACUUCACCCCGUCUCUUUUCGAAAAAAUUGAUAUUAUUUUAUUUUUUUAAAAAUAGGAAUUCUAUCCAUCCUAUAUAACCUCCUGUACCUAAUUUUUUUAUAUAUAUUUUUGUGAGUUUGUAUUAGAUAUGUACAUAUAUUUUUAGGAAUUCUUUCUACUUGUGUACCAAAUAUAAAGUAAAUAAAACAUUUAUUUUUUAAAAAAGUCUUGAGGCCGUGGCAAAUAAAAAUUAUUUUCAAUAUGUUUAUAUCUAACACAAAAGGAGAAAAAGUUCGAAAGCGGACGGUUAGGUGGGGUAGGUAUAUUUUUUUUAAAGCAAAUUAGUAUAUAUAUUUUUUUGUGUGUGUGGGGUUGGGGGGGGGGGGGGGGUAAAAAAAAGUUAAAUACCUUUACAAAAGAAAUUUAAACAAAAAAAACUAAAAAAAAAAAGGGUGGGGGGAGGGUUGGACGGUUAGAGAAAGUGAUGGAGUGGGUAGGGAGGCGAGCAAAAUUGGGAGGGAGACGAGCAAACUUUGUACGUAUCGUAACCCAGAACAUGUGAAUCAAGCAAGAUACACACUAGGUACAUGUAUUUGUACGUGUCUAGAGGAAUUCACAUAUAUCUGGGAUAUCAUAUUCUUGGAAGAAUGACGAGCAAAAUGGAACAGAGGCAAGGAAGGAAAACGAGAUAUACUAUGUAUCCCAAAUACAUGCGAAUUCAAUAAAUAUAAUGUAUCUAGAACAAAUUACACCUAAAUUUGAUCGAGAUAUUCGAGAUACAUGUAUCUCAAGGCACCAAAAUCUGAUUUUUAUAUAUAUAUAUAUAUAUAUGAAAGUUUAUGUGAUCGAUAAAACUAAUAGCUUAGUAUUUCAAUGGUAUCAUUUCUACACAAAAUAGUUCUACCUCAAUUUAUGACAAAAAUGAUUUUAUUUAUAUGAGAUCAAAUUUAUAGGGUUUCGAUGACCAUGAUAAAACAGGAGAAUGUACAAAAAUACUUAAGUCCUUGUUUAUAAUAUACCAUUUUGCCAAAAUAUUUGUAGCUCGAUUAACUUUCUUAUAGAAAUGUUGAACCUUUCAAAUAAUAGUGCUUGAUAUAAUGAUAUAUUGUAAAUAUGAAAAGUGAUGUUUUUCAUUUUCCAAAGAAUACCACUAAAAUAGUUCUUUCUAACAUCAUGUAUAAAUUUUUAUGCAAGUAAAACAUUUUAAAUAAUAAUCUACGAAACUUGUUAUUUGAUCCUCAUAGAUAUUAUAACAUUUAGUUUUAGUGCUUAUGAAAAUAAUUUUGUUAGAACAAUAUUUCCAUUAUACGUAUAAAAAGUUCACAUUGUUCUUUGUUUUUAAAGAUACAAUAUCCUAAUUAUUUCAUUGUUAUUCCAUCUCUAUUAUUCAUUGAGCAUAAUUUGAAUAAUUUAUUUUUAUCAUAUUAUUACCAAUAUAAUCAUAGAAAGUCAAAUAAGAAAACUAAUUUUCCUUGUUACUAUUUCUUUGAUUAAUUGGAAUUAGAGACGACUAGUUAUUAUUAUGAGCAACUUUCACAUAUAGCAAACAAAAAAUUUAUAUUUGUAUGCUAAUUAAGCUCCAUAGCAAACAUAAAACUGUAUAAUUUGCUAUACAUAUACAAUUGUAUAAUUCGCUGGCCUAUUUCGCUGCAAUAGUAUAAUUUGUUUUGCAUACAGUUGAAUCGAAUUAAAAUGUAUGUAUAUUGCAUAAUUAUAAGUGUAUAGCAAGAAGAUAUAUGUUUUUCUCGCUUUAUACAAAAACAGAAACACAAUAUAUACACUUUUGUUGUAUAAAGCUAGAGAAAAUUGUAUUUCACUGCAAUUGUAUAAUUCGCAAUUGUAUAAUUCGUUGGCCUUUUUCUCUGCAAUAUUUGAAGUAAAAUGUUUGCAAAUUGUGUAAUUAAGUGUAUAACAUGAAGAUAUACAUUUUUGCAUGUGUAUAUACAAUUUUCUCUCGCUUUAUACAAAACAGAAACAGAAUUAUACACUUCUGUGUAUAAAGCGGGAGAGGCGAGCGAGAAUGGAGAGUGGCGAGCGAGAUUUUUGGGAGAGAGACGCUGGCAAAUUUUAGCUAAUGUUUGCUAUGGAGCAAAAUUAAAUCAAAUCCUAGCUAUUCCAUUUAAUUUAGGUUAUUAGUUUGCUAUUAUAUACAAUUUUUUCUAUUAUUAUUAAUCGGAUGCAUUUCACUCCGCACAUAAAUAACUUCCAAUAAUUUAAUAUUAAUUAUAUAUGCUCUAUUAAAUAAUUUUUAAAUAUAAAAUAAUAUUAUGGUAGAUUUGGGGGUGUCAAAAUCAAGUCAAUUUGUCAAACUCCCCUAUUCCAUUUAAUUUAUCAACUUUAACUCAUCUCAACCUAAUUUAGUUUAAUUCAUAUUUAAACAGUGAAUUGAUAUAUAAUUCAAAUUAGCUUAUCAAAAUAUUUUUAAAAUAAUAUUUUUAAAAUUUGAUAUGUUAUAUAUAGUCGUAAUAAAGAAAAAAAUAAACUUAUUAGGUGCUAAAAAAUUUUAAAAAGAGCAAACUAAACAACUAAAUUUUAGUAAAAAUUGAAGGGGUUAUAUUAGAAAUCGAAUUUAACUUAAUUAUGUCCAAUUCAUUUCAAUUCAAAUAGACAAUAGCUAAUGAUCCAUUCAUUUGUUAACUCAUUAAAAUUCAAUCGGUUCAAAUUCAGGUCAACUCUCCUAUACCAAACUUCUAGUAGAUCUUAAUCAAUAAAAAUUUGGACACGAAAACAAUUCAUUCAUUUCAUCCAUCAAAUUAUUAAUAAGUGACACCAUCUUAGCGACCCAGUUCAUUGUAUUAUAUUAAGAAAAAAUAACUUAAAUACACAAUUAUAAGUUUUAUAUUUUCUAAUUUUCCCUUCUUUUUUUUAAAUAUUACAUAAUUUCCUUUUUUUAAAAUUUUAGUGUAAGUUUAUAGAUACAUUACAUUCUCUCUCCUAUAGUACACAAUUACCCAUUUUAAUGCCUAUUUAUUCUCCAUUAAAACACUCAACCUUUUAAAUAAAAGACCUAAUUUUGAAUUUCAAAAUUCAAAAAAUUUCAAAUUUCAAAAAUCAGGUUCUCCCGUUUUUCUUACUCCAUCAAGUUUCACUUCCUUUUUUUCCAUAAUCAUCUUCCUUCUUCUUAACCUAGCAGAAUUUAUUGGUUUCUUCUUUUUAUUCUUAAUCCAUCAUCUUUUUCUUCUUAAUCUGUAAUCGUCUUAACCCAAUAUCUUUUUAUUAUUAAUCCAUCAUCAGUUCGUCUUUUCUUCUCUUUUUUCUUUUUGUUAAUUGUUCUAUUACAUUAUAGUAAUGGAUCCGUUAAUUAAUAGAAGGAUAUAUGAUUCCGACGAUGAAAAUUGGAAAGAAAAUAGGAAAAAGUUUUUGCAUGAUCCUAUGAAUCUUCAGAAGGAUUCAAACAAAGACUCUGGCGAAACAUCAAAAUCAAAGGUUAUCAAAAUACAACAAAAAAAGAAAAAAGAAGCAGCAAACAUUGUUGUUAGGCCUACAUUGUCUCGGGUUAGUAUUUUGGUACUUAAAACUGUUGUUGAAAUUAGUAAAAAUUUUAAGGAAUCUAGUGUGCUUGCCGAUACAUUUGAAUAAGUGUGUAUAGUGUUUUAGAGGUGAAUUGAUACAUGAAUUUAUUGUGUAUCAUAAUAUUUUAUAUGUAUCAUGAAGUUUUGAAAAUUGUUAUAAUGUAUCAUUCAAUAAGUUUAGUAAAUACGUCAUCAACUGUGCUUGAUGAUACAUAUAGAAUCAGUGUGUACGGUGUUUAGUCAAUUCACUGAUACAUGUAGGAGAUAUGUAUCACAUGUUUUGCAUAUAGUAUGAAUUUCUGAAAACUGAUAUCAUGUAUCAGUAAGGUAUUAGUUGUUUAGUUGAUGUACUGAUACAUGUUUGAAAAUUGUUAUAAUGUAUCAUUCACUAAGUUUAAUAAAUGCGUCAUCAACUGUACUUGAUGAUACAUAUAGAAUCAGUGUGUAUAUUGUUUAGUCGAUGUUUCUGAUACAUGCAUUAGAUACGAAAUUGAAUCUCCAACAACGAUUCCGUCGAUUUUGUAACUUUCAUACUGCAAUUCGUUCACCUAAAUUCCGGAAUGUCUCAUCAAAAUCGAAGUAUUCAUCUUGAAAAAUCCACUGUAACAACAAUAAAAUUACUGUAGUUCGAAAUUUAACAGAUUGUUCAAAAAAAUUGUUUUCAAAAUAGAUGACAUAAUCUUUGUUUUUCAAAAUUUGAAAUUAAUAUCCAAUUAAGUGCUUAUUUUAUGCUGAUUAAUGAUAUGUUACCGUAAAUUUAGCUGUUUUAUUAACAACAUUAACUGUACCGUUUUCCCCCUUUUUUUUCUCAACAGUUUAAAAUUACCAUGUAUCAUUUACCUUGUAUCACGAGAGUCUAAAGUAUCACGGCUCAACAAAUUUAAGAGAUUUUUUGUAAAUACUAAAUUUGUCUGGACAAAAUGAAAUUAUUGAAUUACACUAUAGGAUUCCUUAAAUUUUUACUUAUAUUAAUCUUUAGUAUGGGGACCUAAAUAUUUAACUUUCCAAUUCCUUUAGGGGUCAAUUUGAUUGAUUAUAAUGAGUGAAUUAUACUAUAAAAAUUGAAAUAAUAAUUAAUGUUUGUAGAGCAUAUUAAAUUAUUUUAUCAUGACUACAGUUGGUGUUAAUUGAAUUGGAAAUAAGAUAUAUACGGUAUAUAAUAUAUAUAGAAAUUUUAAUUUGAUUCGUUGAUUUUGUAUUUUCAGACAAAUUUUAUUUUUAAUUUUACCUUUCUUAAAGAACUUUUAGUUUGGUUGUUUUAUCAUGGAAUUAGCUAAUUAUUAAUCUAGAGAAUUGCUAUUCCAUAUACAACUUUGGUACAAUUAGAGAAUUAUAAUAUAAUUAAUUUCAAAAUUACUUAUAUUUAGGAACAAAAGUUUCAAUCAAACGAUAAAUAAUUGAAUAUUUUAUCUCAGAAUUAGUAUUAUUAUUAUUAAUACUAAUUAACGAUCCUAAGUUUCGAUUUUGUCACUCCGGUCCUUUUCUUUUAAUCUUUUCACAAACCAACUACAUUUGAUUGCAUUAACUAUAAAGUCCAUUUGCAUUAUUUUACAUAUCAAUUAAUAUUACUAAACUAAAUUUAUCUAUAAUUACUGAUUUAAAUGUAUACCUAUUUUCUCACCAACAUGGCAUAUAUAUUAGACUCAUUAAAAUUAAACGUUGCUUCAUGUGGUGUGUUCAAUUGGUUAGACUAUCUCGUCAAAUAUAUUGUUCGCAAAUAAACAAUGCUCAAAUGAAUGAUAUUAAUGUUGUUGGUGAAUAUUACAAGCUUCUCGUAACGUUUUGUUAGCUUACGUAUGAAUGUGCAAUAUUAUUUCUACUUAUUUUGUCAAACACUAAAAAAGUAAGUAAAAAACUUGUUUAUGUGAGAUAAUAUUUUUCUUUGUACCUAAAAAGUGCAUUAAUUUAUAUAGCUAAAAUAGUGCAAAGUUGAGGCCUCCACGCAUUAUUUUUGGUGAGAAGAAGAAUGAGAAGACUUUCUAUCUCUUUGAAUUAUUGCAUCACAAACAGUAUAGCUGCCUUAAUAGUUUAUUCAUUUGCUUAGCUUAAUGCCUCUAUCCAUCAAAUUAAAUAUACAACUAACAAGACAAAACCAAAUGAAAAUGCAUAACUCUAGGAUUUUACCUACAUUUGUAUAAAUUUUGGUAAGGGUAUCUGUCUAAAUGAAAACUAUAUAAAGGGGUUUGAGUGAAGCUUAAGAUGACAACAACUUUCUCCUUUGUUUCGAAUAUGGGGAAAAUGGCCUUUCUAGUUGCCACCCUUUUAGUGGUUUUAGUGUCACUUAGCUUAGCAUCUGAAAUUUCAGCUAAUUAUCAAUACUCAUCUCCCCCACCACCAAAGGAGCCAUACCACCCUUCACCAACACCAUAUCAUCCCACACCAGUUUACAAUUCUCCACCACCACCAAAAGAGCCAUACUACCCUCCACACACUCCAGUGUACAAGUCGCCACCACCCUCGACACCUAUUUACAAGUCGCCACCACCACCCAAAGAGCCAUACUACCCUCCACACACCCCUGCCUACAAGUCACCACCUCCACCAACUCCAGUUUACAGGUCGCCACCACCUCCCAAGGAGCCAUACUAUCCUCCACACACACCAACCUACAAGUCGCCACCUCCACCAACUCCCGUUUACAAGUCACCACCACCUCCAAAGGAACCAUACUACCCUCCACAUGCACCAACCUACAAGUCGCCACCACCUCCCAAGGAGCCAUACUACCCUCCCCACACCCCAACCUACAAGUCCUCACCUCCACCAACUCCGUUUUACAAUUCACCACCACCUCCCAAGGAACCAUACUACCCUCCUCACACACCAACCUACAAGUCGCCACCCCCACACAAGGAUCCAUACUACCCUCCACACACACCAACCUAUAAGUCACCACCUCUACCAACUCCUGUUUACAAGUUGCCACAACCACCCAAGGAGCCAUAUUACCCUCCACACACACCAACCUACAAGUCACCACCUCCACCAACUCCCAUUUACAAGUCACCACCACCUCCCAAGGAGCCAUACUACCCUCCACACACACCAACCUACAAGUUACCACCUCCACCAACUCCCGUUUAUAAGUCGUCGCCACCACCAUCCAAAGAGCCAUACUACCCUCCACACACACCAACCUACAAGUCACCACCUCCACCACCUCCCGUUUAUAAGUCUCCACCACCACCCAAGGAGCCAUACUACCCUCCACACACACCGACCUACAAGUCACCACCUCCACCAACUCCCGUUUACAAGUCCCCACCACCUCCUAAGGAGCCAUACUACCCUCCACACACACCGACCUACAAGUCACCACCUCCACCAACUCCCGUUUACAAGUCCCCACCACCUCCUAAGGAGCCAUACUACCCUCCACACACACCAACCUACAAGUCACAACCUCCACUAACUCCCGUUUAUAAGUCGUCGCCACCACCACCCAAGGAGCCAUACUACCCUCCACACACACUAACCUACAAGUCACCACCUCCACCAACUCCUGUUUAUAAGUCGCCACCACCACCCAAGGAUCCAUACUACCCUCCAAACACCCCAACUUACAAGUCGCCACCUCCACCAACUCUCAUUUACAAGGUUCCACCACCAGCCAAGGAGCCAUACUACCCUCCACACACACCGACCUACAAGUCACCACCUCCACCGACUCCCCUUUAUAAGUCCCCACCACCUCCUAAGGAGCCAUACUACCCUCCACACACACCAACCUACAAGUCACCACCUCCACCAACUCCCGUUUAUAAGUCGUCGCCACCACUACCCAAGGAGCCAUACUACCCUUCACACACACCAACCUACAAGUCACCACCUCCACCAACUCCCGUUUAUAAGUCUCCACCACCAACCAAGGAUCCAUACUACCCUCCACACGCCCCAACCUACAAGUCGCCACCUCCACCACCUCCCACUUACAAGUCGCCACCACCACCAAAGGAGCCAUACUACCCUCCACACACACCAACCUACAAGUCAUCACCUCCACCAACUCUCAUUUAUAAGUUGUUGCCACCACCACCCAAAGAGCCGUACUACCCUCCACACACACCAACCUACAAGUCACCACGUCCACCAACUCCCAUUUAUAAGUCGUCGCCGCCGCCACCCAAGGAGCCAUACUACCCUCCACACACACCAACCUACAAGUCACCACCUCCACCAACUCCCGUUUAUAAGUCGCCACCACCACCCAAGGAUCCAUACUACCCUCCACACACCCCAACCUACAAGUCGCCACCUCCACCAACUCCCGUUUACAAGUCGCCACCACCACCCAAGGAGCCAUACUACCCUCCUCACACACCAACCUAUAAGUCACCACCUCCACCAAGUCCCGUUUACAAGUCGCCACCACCACCCAAGGAUCCAUACUAUCCUCCACACACCCCAACCUACAAGUCGCCACCUCCACCAACUCCCGUUUACAAGUCGCCACCACCACCCAAGGAGCCAUACUACCCUCCUCACACACCAACCUAUAAGUCACCACCUCCACCAAGUCCCGUUUACAAGUCGCCACCACCACCCAAGGAGCCAGACUACCCUCCACACACCCCAUCCUACAAGUUACCACCUCCACCAAUUCCCAUUUACAAGUCGCCACCACCACCAACUCCUGCCUACAACUCUCCUCCACCACCUUACUAUCUUUACACCUCUCCCCCUCCUCCCUACCAUUACUAAAAAGCCACUUCAUUAUAUCGAGGUAAUUAAGACAAACUAAAACUAUUACUAAUGAUGUGUCUAAAAUGCAAAGCAAUAAGUUGCUCAAUUUCCUCAUGCAAAUCAUUAAUAUAUAGACCUAUGCAGUCUAUAUUCUUAUUUGGAUAACUUUAAUUACAUGUUCUCAUUCACAAAAUUAUAUUCUUAUGCAGGAAAAGCAAAAUGUUGAGCUUAAAGAAAGGCAUUUUACAUUUUCGAGAGACGAUGAAAAAAGAAGAAAACUAUAGUAAAUAAUAAGCCCCACAUAAGUCGAAGUUCUUUUGUAGCUUCAUGUUAUCUAAGCUAGUGAUACUGUUUGUACUCUAUUAUUUAUAUUUGUAUUUUUACUUUUAUGUCUUUCUGUAUGUUUGCUCAGUUUUAAUAUCCUAGCAAAAUGCAAAGAUUAAUUAUGAGAUGAAUAAAAUAAGUUAUUACUAUUAUACAGUUUUAUGUUUUCCUUCUCUCUGAUCUAUUCGAUCUUAAUUAGUCCUUUUUUUGGUCUUAUUUCUUCAUCUUUAUAUCGAAGGCGAGGCUCAACGAUUACAUUAAAUCAAUCAUCAUACAGAUAAAAUUGAUGACAAAUUUAACGUUAAGAUAUCAUCAAAAUCUCAAUAACAAUUUACAGAUCGAAAUCUUAGUAUCGAUUGAUUAAUAACCUAAACUUUCGCCAUGAAGACUUGAAUCCCUAAUCCCGUCCUUCAUUUCCCAUAUCUCUACCCACACAUUAUCUUUUAAGAAAGAAGAAGUAACAACCAAAAUAAACAUUAUAUCUAAAGUGAUAAUAUGAUAACAAUACAAAUAGGCAACAAUACAAUUAAAGAAAAAAAAAAAAGUUACUCCCACGAUGUCAACACGUAUGCUAGACUGACCAAUAAAGUUAGACAAAUUUCAAAAUUGACAAUAGCAAAGUAUACGUACGUAGCAUAUAGCAACCAAUCAAUGAAUAAAUUAUUCCUAAAGUAGUCAUUAUCAUCUCAUAUACUAUAUUUGGUAAAAUACUAAGAUUAAGUCAACAUAAUUCAGUCUACCGUUUGGUAAUUUAUAACAAAUAGUGACAAUAUUAAUAAAGUGAUUGGUGCUCUCUUUUGGCCCACCCCCAAGAAGAUCGUGAACGCAUAUUUUAAAUUUGAUUUGAUUACCACUUUUUAAUAUCUUUAAAAUAAAACUUGUAUAUUUAAAAAAUUAAAAAUUAUUAUUAUUAUUUAAUUAUAUAAAUAAAAUAUUUUAAAAUACAUUAGUAUCUUAAUAGAGAAAAGAUUAAAAAAUUAAAAAUUAUUAUUAUUAUUUAAUUAUAUAAAUAAAAUAUUUUAAAAUACAUUAGUAUCUUAAUAGAGAAAAGAUUGUUUGUUUGAUUUUCUAAAGUAACAGAGUCGGAUGAGAUAGUUGAUUAAUUUGACGGUUUGAAUAAUAUAAUCUUCUUGAUAAAUAAUCAUCAACCCAUCAUGCAUGUUUUAUAUUUAUUGAUAGAAACUUUGAUGGAUUGAUUUGUUGGUGCCGCCUCAACAUAGAGAAAAGAAAAAGAACAAGUUAUUUCAAUCUAUUACACUUUAGAGAUUAAAAAAAACAUUUUUUAAAGCAGUGAUAAAAUUGAUAAUAAUAAGUUGUUAAUAUGUUUGGCAAAAAGAGUGUCGAUUAACUAUUUUUUGCUAUAGUAUUGAAAUAUCUUUAGAUUUUUUAACCCCCAAAAAAGGUUUAAAACUACCUCUGUAAAGAAAAGGAGUUUAUUUUUAGAAAAUAUAUCUCGAGAAAUAAAGUAAGAUAAAGGAUAAAAUCGUGAAAGAAAAAUGUUGAUAAGCAAACAAAAAAAUCAAAGUUAGGAAUGACCAAUUUAUUGAAUAUAACUAAAUUGUCUUAAAUAAGCAACUUAGCUUAUAAAUAUAUAUAUAAAAUUAUUUUUAUAUCAGUUUGAUCAAUUAAUAAUAAAUUGAUUAUGCAUGAAAUAAUAGGAAGUGUUCUAAUUAAAAAGAAUACAAGGAAAAAGGUGCAGUAUUGUGUACGAUCGACCAAACAUACAUUCGUUAUUAAUUAUUAUUAAGCUAAUUAGACAACGCUAUCUUAUUAAUUUAUUAUAGAGCUGUCGAUAUUAGUUUAGAUAAUUAAAUUAUAUAAAAUUCAUUUAAUUCAAUCAAAGCUUGACUUGUUAAAUGUUAGGUUUAUGAUAUGAUUAAUUAUAUAUAUAAUUCACUAUGAUUUUACGCGACUUGUUAAUCAAGACCUUAUUUAACAUAUUGAUUAAGUUAUUAGUUAUAUAACUAAUAAAAAUAUAUUUUAAAUAAUAAAUGGUUAUUGAGAGAAAACUUCCAUGCAAUUAUCAUAAUAAGAAACUUCUUAAGAAAUUGUCUCUAAUUAGAUAAUUGGAUGGUGACUCUUUUGUUUAAAAAAAAUUGAAUCAAUCAAGAUUUUAUUGCUAUUAAUUGUGAACUACAAUUUGUAGAAGGGGAGCAUAAACCUAGAUAUUAACUAUGCACAACAUGAGUGUGCAAGAUUAUUUUGUUUAUUUAUUUUGAUUCAAUUCAGUAUCCGAUAUUCAUAUUAGAUUCUCAAUCAAAUUUGUAUUUACAUUAAAAAAAUUCAGUGCUCCUUAACAGAGGCAACAACUCUGUACUCAGGAGAACUCGAAUUCGAGACCUCUAAACAAGAAUAAAGAAGUAUUUGUUAUUCCAUAACAAUUUUUAUUGAUAAAAGAAACUCGUAGUAUCAUGAAAAGAUAAUAGAUUAUCUAGGCCUAAUGGAAAAUUCAGUCAAGCUUUAGAGGGAAAAUUAUGGCAUAGCAAAGUUACAAACUUUAUAGUAUGAUUAACUUAAUUACAAGACCGUUAAAUUGAAUGCAACCCCAAUAACUUUUCUUUCAAUAAAUAUUUGGCCUUUGUGAGCUUUAUUUGAACUCUCUCUUCCUUCAUAAACUUGACCAUCAGCAAUAUUUUCCUUUCCUCUUUUAUUUUAUUGCUCACUCGAUAGUCAGCUUUUAAGAUUGACUUGAUGUUUCGAUAAGCGAAAGGUGUAAAUCCAGAUUAUGCUCAAGUAUCUAAGUGAUAUAUGAAUUGCAAACUUUUUGCAUAUGCAUUUGAGAAGAAAAUAAUUAUCACAAGAAAAUAAAUAAUUAGCAUGCGGUAAAUUAUUAACGUAGUUAAAUAAUGUUAUAGUCUUAUAAAUUAAAAUAAAGACAAGGCAACAAUUGUCACUAAUUAUUUGUAUUGUUAGCAACAAAAACUAAGAGAACAUAAAUAAUAUAUACUUAAUGGCUCAAUUUUACACCAUUUCACUAUAAAUAACUUUAUGUCGCUAAUUUGAUUACAUAUUUUUGUGACGAAACUUAUUUUGUAUCCAAACUUAAACGAAUUUAAAGAUAAAUAUGAUUUAUCAUAAAUAUUCAGUAAAAACAGGGAGAAAAUUUAUCAUCAUCAAUAUCCUCAAUUUCGUCGCUAAAAUUACCUUACAAUUUGAUUUAAUUAUAAAUUGAAAAUCAAAUUUAAAAAUGAUUAAAUUUGUGAUGUUGGUGCAAAAUGCACGUAUCAAAUUAAACCCACCUUUAGGUCUAAGAAAAUGGUGAGCACAUCUUAACCAUUAUUCUUCAACUCAUUUCAUCUCUUCCUCAAUUAAUUAUGCAAAUAAUAAAAAUAUUUCUUUUUCCAUUCAAUGUCUGUGUUUUAUAUUGAAGUUCCAAUUAACUCUAGAUUAGAAACCGGAGGCGAGGGCACAUUUAAAGGUGAUGCUUCCUAUACGACUCAUGUAGUAAAAAAAAUUAUAAAAAAAACCACCACAAUAAUUAUAUACGCUUCAAAAAAAAGAAGAGAAUAGAAUAGCAUCCUAUUCAUAGAGAAAACUAUACUUGAUAGUUAACUGGUAGCAAAACUUUUGCACAAGAUUAAUUAUAUUUGUAUAGUUGAUUUAUUCAAGGUUUUAAUUAGAAGAGGUCUAGGAUUCUAUUUAUUUUUAUCCAUAUUUUUUAAACAAUAAAUUUGCUACAAAAGGAUGUCUGUGACAAAUCAUGUCUCCUAAAUAUAAGCACUUGUGUGAAGGUUAGUUGAGUGUAAAGUUGAGGCAUCCACGCAUUUUUUUUUUCAAAGGUUCUGUAAAAAGAAAACAAGAUUUUGUAGCUCUUUGAAUCAUUCUGUCACAAACAGUAUAGUUCCCUUAAUAGUUUAUACAUUUGCUUAGGAUGAUGCCUCUAUAUAUCUAUCAAAUUAAAUAUACAAACUAAAGUCAAAAUUGAGCCAACAACAUGUCAAGACUAAAUAAACAUAUGCAUAACUCUACCAUAUUACCUACAUUUGUAUAAAUUUUGGUAAGGGUAAUUUCUAAAUGAAGUCUAUAUAAAGGGGUUUGGGUGAAGCUUAAGAGGACAAAAACUUCUCUCCUUUGUUUCAAAUAUAGGGAAAAUGGCCUCUCUAGUUGCAACUCUUUUAGUGGUUUUAGUGUCACUUAGCUUACCAUCCGAAAGUUCAGCUAAUUAUCAAUACACAUCUCCCCCACCACCAAAGGAGUCAUACCACCCUUCACCAACACCUUAUCAUCCCGUACCACUUUACAAGUCUCCACCACUGCCAACUCCAGUUUACAAUUUUCCACCACCACCCAGAGAGACGUACUACCCUCCACACACUCCAGUGUACAUGCCGUCACCACCCUCGACACAAAUUUACAAGUCGCCACCACCACCCAAGGAGCCAUAUUACCCUCCACACACCCCAACCUACAAGUCGCCACCUCCACCAACUCCUAUUUACAAGUCUCCACCGCCGCCAACUCCCUUUUACAAUUCUCCACCACCACCCAAGGAGCCAUACUACACUUCGCCACCUCCACCAACUCCUACUUACAAGUACCCACCGCCACCAACUCCGGUUUACAAUUCUCCACCACCACCUAAGGAGCCAUACUACCCUCCACACACCCCAACCUACAAGUCGCCACCUCCACCAACUCCUGCUUACAAGUCUCUACCGCCGCCAAUUCCAGUUCACAAUUCUCCACCAUCACCCAAGGAGCCAUACUACCCUCCACACACCCCAACCUACAAGUCGCCACCUCCACCAACUCCUGCUUACAAGUCUCUACCGCUGCCAAUUCCAGUUCACAAUUCUCCACCAUCACCCAAGGAGCCAUACAACCCUCCACACACCCCAACCUACAAGUCGCCACCUCCACCAACUCUUGCUUACAAGUCUCCACCGCCACCAACUCCGAUUUACAAUUCUCCACCACCACCCAAGGAGCCAUACUACCCUCCACAUACCCCAACCUACAAGUCGCCACCUCCACCAACUCCCAUUUACAAGUCGCCACCGUCACCAACUCCGGUUUACGAUUCUCCACCACCACCCAAGGAGCUAUACUACCCUCCACACACCUCAACCUACAAGUCGCCACCACCACCGAAUGAGCCAUACUACCCUCCACACACACCAACAUACAAGUCGCCACCUCCACCAAUUCCAAUCUACAAGUCACCACCUCUUCCAACUCCUAUUUACAAGUCGCCACCACCACCCAAGGAGCCAUACUACCCUCCACAUACUCCACUUUCACCGUCUUCAGUUUAUAAGUCUCCACCUCCACCAACUCAUGUUUACAAGUCGCCGCCACCACCUAUAGAGCCAUACUACCCUCCACACACCCCAAUCUAUAAGUCGCCACCUCCACCGAUUCCUGUUUACAAUUCACCACCUCCACUAACUCCAGUUUAUAAGUCACCACCACCACCCAAAGAGCCUCACUACCCUCCACACACCCCAGUGUAUAAGUCACCACCACCACCCAAGGAGCCAUACUAUUCUCCACAAAAUCCAGUCUACAAGUCGCCACCUCCACCAACUCCCAGUUACAAGUCGCCAACACCACCCAAGGAGCCAUAUUAUCCUCCACAUACCCCAACUUACAAGUCACCACCUCCACCAACUCCAGUAUACAAGUCGCCGCCACCACCCAAGGAGCCAUACUACCCUCCACACACCCCGACCUACAAGUCGCCACCACCACCGAAGGAGUCAUACUAUCCUCCACACACCCCAACCUACAAGUCACCACCUCCACCAACUCCUGUUUCCAGCUCUCCACCACCACCAACUCCAGUCUACAAGUUUCCACCACCAACAGAUUAUGUUUACACCUCUCCCCCUCCUCCCUACUAUUACUAAGAAGAGAUUUCAUUAUAUCUAAGGUAAUUAAACCAAACUAAAACUUUUAAUUAUGAUAUGUCUAUAGAAGUUGCACAAUUUCUUCGUUCGAAUAAUUAAUAUAGACCUGUAUACUGUCUACAUCUUAUUUGGUUUAGGUUCUAUUAUAUGUUCUCAUUCACAAUACUAAUUAUAUUCUUAUGCAGGAAAGAUGCAGAAUGUUGAGCUAAAAGAAAAUAAGCCCACACAGGAGGCAAAGUUUUUUUGUAGCUUCAUUUUGUAUAAGUUAUUGUUUGUACCCUAUAUUAUAUUUAUAUUUUACUUCUAUUUAUUUGUGUAAUAUGUUUGUUCGAUCUCCUUGCAACAUGCAGCCAUUAUGAGAUGUAUAAAAUAUGUUAUUACUAUAUAUACUGUCUUUUUUCUUAUUUUUGUCAUCCCUUAUAUUGAGUUAUAUUUAUAAGUUGAGCCUCUUAUCAAUUACAUUAAAUCAGUUGCUAUAAAAAAUGUGGUUUUUCACCACCAAUAAGUUCAACGAUAAGCUACAAUCAACUGGGAAUAUUAGUAGCUUCAAUAGAAAAUGUUAAUAGCUCCGUUGAUUAGUUAUUUGAACUUUUUAUCUUUAUUACACGUCGCAAUAACAAUCAAUGUAAAUAUUAUAUCUAACCUCUGGACUUAUGCCCACAUAAUUCCUCAAUGCACCCACACAAAAUAUUGAAAUUAAAUAUUAUUACUUGCCUAUUUCUCUUAUCUUGAUUAUUAGUUUUCAGGGAUGAAAGUUUAAUUGUUACACCUUUCACUUUUUUAAAAAAAAAAAAAAGGAAUGGACAACCAACUGAUUUCGUAUCUGAUUGUAGUUGUUGAAGGCAUAUUGUAAUAAUUAAAUUUUCGUUUUUGAAAAAUAAUAAUCAAAAAAUAGAAAAUAUCAAUAAAUAAUAAUAUUUAAUUUUAUUUAUUUGUGCACGAUUUAACAAUCAUUAGAGAUUUCACACUAAAAUGUUUAAUUUUUUUGUUUUUUCUUUUUUUCUCUUCAUGACUAUCAACUCAAAAGUUUUGCUUUUUACCUGAAUUGAUGGAAUACUUGUUGAAAGUUUACCACGAAUGCAUAAUCAAUUUUUAAUCACAUUCGAGGAGGCAUAAAACGACUCACAACUUGAAGGCAAAAAAGAGUUGUAUGCAGAAGACUGCAAAUCAUUAUUGAAUAUUUUUUUAUAUAGGCAUCAGCUAGGGUUUGAAAUAUUUGAUCUAAUCGACUUUAGGUUUGAGAAUAUGAGUUGUGUUGGAUUAGACUUGUAAAUUUAAUAAUGGACUAACCUAAAUUUAAUCGAAAAAUUACCUAACUACAUAUAUAUUUUUUUAUCCUAUUUUCUAUUAUUUCAUAUAAUUUAUAAAAAUUACAAAAAUCUUUUUUUUCUCUCAAAUUCGCUCCUUUCAAGAUUCAUAACUUUAAAUCUUCCAACUCACAAUUUCUCCUUUUUCUCAGGCCUAUAAUCGCUCUACUAUAUUACUAGUUACCUUCAUCUCCUAUAUUUUGAAUUUUAGAUAUUUUUCUCUCUCCCGUUUAUAAUUUAAUUGAGUAUGUAUCAUAUGUUUGUUAUGUAUGUGAAGUACUAUUUUAUAACUAAAUCAUUGUUUAUCAUAUUCAUAAGUUUUUUUUAUAUGAUACAUAGCUAUGUCAAAUUAUACCGGCAUGAUACAUAAAUACUAAUUUAUGCUACAUGUAACGAUCUCAAAUCAAACAACUUAUGAGCAACAAUUACAUGUUAAAUGUAUCCCGUAACAAUACGAUACUUAUUAAUUUAAACGAGAUAAAUAAAUAGUAAUGUAUCAUGUAUUAGUUUUUAGAUGUGAUACAUAAAUUCGAAUUUGGACUACAUGUAUUAAUUACAUAGAAACUACCACGCGGUGAUGUAUCCAUCACAAAUGUAACAUCUUAUGGGCAACAAUUACUUAUUUAAUGUAUCUACUAUAAAUACAAUACUAAUCAAUUGAGACGAGAUACACAAAUAGUAAUGUAUCAUGCAAAAAAAUUUUUUACUUGAUAUGUGAAUUCGAAUUUAUACUAAAUGUAUCAAUUACAUAGCAACUACCACAUUGUAAUGUAUCGAUCUCGAAUUCAACAUCUUAUGGACUAUAAUUAUUUAUUUAGUGUAUUUAGUAUAAAUACAAUACUUAUCAAUUUAAACAAGAUACAUAAAAGUAAAAUGCUAAGUAGACAAGAUAUUCAUGAUAAUAUUCUCAAUUUUUUUGAGAUUCUUCAAUAAACUAGGAGAAGAAUUCUGAAUCUCAAAAUUUACAACAAUUUUGAAUCAAAAUUAAAAAGAUCUUUGAUGAACUGGAGAACAAAGAAUCUUAAUCUCAAAAUUUUUAACAAUCUUGAAUCAAAACUGAAAGGAAUAUCUUUGAUGAUCUUGAAGAUUCAAAAGAAAAUUGUUUAUCCAACAACAAUUUUGUCACUUUUGUAUCAUUCAUAAUUCACUUCGCUUACCCAAAAUUUCGACAAAAGUUUUUGGAUCAAAUGUGAAAGGUUUCUUUGUUGAACGGGGGGAUCAACUAGAAAUUUUAAAUUUCUUCGUUCUGUAUGGAUUUGAUUCUGUAUGAUUGAGAGUAAAAAGAAAUAUAAGCGUAAUUUAUGGAAUUUAAUUAGUUUUCAGAUUUUAUUUUCUUUUUAGCGCAACAGAAAGAUUCUUUUUGUAUUAAAAUUAGUGUAUCUAGAUGGUGGUGACUUAUGUAUUUGUUGAAGGAAGCUGAUGGAACAGGUUUGGUAGUAUAUGACUUUUUUCCUAUAUAAGGAUGAUGUAACUCAAUCAUUCAUUCAUCAAUAUAAUCCUUGAUUCUUCACAUACAUAUCUGUGAGAAUUCUACAUCCGAAAGGUACAAAUUUUAACGGAUCAUUUUAUUAGAAAAAAAUAGAGAUAAAAUAUAAUGUAUUCUUUACAUUACGAAGUUUACGUAAGUUAAUCAAAUUUGAUUAAACUUCCCUUAAAUCAUAAAAGUUUAACUUAAUAUUAUUCCAACUUUAUUAUAGAUAUAUAUAAUUGGAAAAAAAAACAAACAAAAUAGAACAUAAGAUCUCGAUCGCUGGACAAAUGUUUGUCUAUAAUAAAUAAAUAUGUCGGUAAUAAUUAUUGACUAGGUCAAUGUAGCUAAGGUUUGUACUUGUUUAUACUUACAUCCUAUCUCUUGGGACGAUUAAAAAAAUAUUAGUUUAGCUUAUUUAAUAAUGGAAUCUUAUAUGGAGUUUACUAAUUUUAUCUUUGUCGGUGAUUAAGUUAUACAAAUGAUUAAUUAUUUUUCUAAUUAAAAAGUCAAAAGUCAUUAUUGGAUGAACCAAGAAUCUUCCAUGUAUUUGAAUACUUUUUCUGUCUCCCUUAAAUCGUGAUGGCUUUUUUGUAAGUUAAAUAAUAAAAAAUUUUAUUAAUGUUUUGUUGAUAUAAGAAAUUAUAAAAUAAGUAUUUUUGUAUAAUAUAUUUAAAUUUUUAAUUUAAAUUUAAAUUUUAAAAAUUAGUUAUAUUAACUGUUAAAAAACCGUACAACGACUAAAACGGGACGGCUUGUUCUCUUCUUUCUUUUAUUAUAAAUAAAAAUAAAAAUUUAACUAAUGUGCAAUCAAUAAUGUUAAUUAUUUAUUCAAAGUUUAAAUUAAACACAUAAAAGUGAAAAGUAUAAAGCCUUCAACCGAUUCGAUUCAUUUAAUUAUGUUUCUUAAGAUAUUCCAUAUUUUCAAAUUUUAAAGAGAACUAUAAAUUCCUACAUUUAAAACUACAUACAUUAUUAAAAUGUGCCUAUAUAACACGCAUUUAAAUUAGUUGUGCUCAAAUAUAGAUAUCAAACAAGGAAUAAAACAUAAAGUGAAUUACUUAAACUAUAAUUAUAUAUUAAGUAAUUAAAUCAAAUCGUGUAAUUUAAUUAAUUAUACUACCAAAAUAUUAACUUCAACGAUAUGAAGUAACGCAAUGUACCUUUAAAGUUUCACAAAAUUUAAUUAGGUUGUAAGGUUUGAUUCUUGAAAUUUAGAAAUUAUUUUCAAGUGAUUUGAGUACAUUGAAAGUACCUAAGUCAAUAAAGUCAAAAAUAAAUUAAUUUUUACUUUGUAUCGUGACCUGUAUUCUACAUCUUGUGUGUUCCCACGAUAAUAAACUAAGAUACCAAAAAUUUCAUAGAUAUUAUAUUUAAUCAUAUAAAUUUUUUCAAUAUUGAGCUACAUAAUCCGUUGAAUUUUUUGCCCUCUAUUCCCACCUAAAACUAAAAAGAAAGAACAACAUUAAUUGCUUUAUUUAGUAAUGAAAGUGGGUCAUUAUAUAUAUAUAUAUAUAUAUAUAUAUAUAUAUAUAUAUAUAUAUAUAUAUAUAUAUAUAUAUAUUAUUUUAUUUUAUUUUAUUUUAUUUUUUUGACAACUAGGGAAACCUGAGCCGCUAUCCUAUAAAAUAGCUCGCAAAUCACAUAGGAGAGGUAACCUGCACUAGGCAAGCCUGGUGCAACGAGCUUGACCCAGAAGGCAAAUCUCUUGCUUUCGCUGGCAAGGGGUUUCAAACUUGAGACCUCCAAUAUGGAAGUUUCAAGCUCAAACCAUUGGGCCACCCCGAAGGGUUAUAUAUAUAUAACUUUUAGUAAUAUUAGAUAUUGACAUUAAUAAAGAGUGUUAAAGUCUUUAUCGGUAUCAGUUAAGUGUCAUUAGAACCAAUGUUGCUAAAGGCUUUAGGGACACAUACAAAGAAAGUUAUUGCCGCUAAAAACACUUAUUUGGCGACGUUUGAAAAUUAAUUGCCAAUAAUGAUUAUUUUUAAUAUAGUGUAUAUAUGUAUUAUUGUUUUAAAUCUCUAUACUAUUUAAGCACUAAAGGUAAUUAAAGGUUAGUUUAUCAAUCAAAAUCAAAAAAAAAUAAAUUGUUACUCCCUUAGUUCGUUUCAUAGUAGUUGAUCAUCUUACUAAAAAUAAUUGUUACACAUUAAUUGUCCAUCUUAUUAAAUCAAGAAAUCAAUAAUUAAUUUUUUCCUAUAUUAUCUAUUCAGAUAAUUCUUUUGAAAGUAUUAACAUUUGUUUGUAAAAUGUAAAAGAAGUUUUCAAGGGGUGAAUUAAUAAAAUUAUCUAGCUAGUUAAUAAAAAUGAUGGGUGAAAUAAUAUUAUCUAGCUACUUAAUAAAAAUAAUCAACUAAUAUGAGACACAUAAAAAUAGAAUUCUUCAAAUAUUUUGUAACAAAAAAAAAAAGAAAAAAGGCAGUGUACACUGAUUUUUGUAACUAAAAAUCGUGCGAAGUUGAGGGAUGCACGCAUUUUUUUCAAAGAUUUUGUAUGUAUGUAAUGUAAAAGCUUGGAAGAAAAAGAAGACUUUGUAGCUCUUUGAAUUAUUGCAUCACAAGAUGUAAAGAAAAUUGUAUGGUUGUCUUAAUAGUUUAUACAUUUUUGCUUAGCUUGCACCCUCUAUCCAAUAAAUAAAGUCAAAUUGAGCCAACAACAUGACAAAACCAAUUAUAAAAAUGAAUAAAAACUUUACCUACAUUUAUGUAAAUCUUGGUAAGGGUAAUUGUCGAAAUGAAAGCUAUAUAAAGGGGUUUGAGUGAAACUUAAAGAGGACACCAACUUCUCUUCUUUGGUUUCAAAUAUGGGGAAAAUGGCCUCUCUAGUUGCUACUCUUUUAGUGGUUUUAGUGUCACUUAGCUUUGCUUCCGAAAGCUCAGCAAACUAUCAAUACUCAUCUCCUCCACCACCAAAGAAGCCAUACCACCCUUCACCAACACCUUAUCAUCUCGCACCAGUUUACAGAUCACCACCACCACCAACUCCACUUUACAAGUCACCACCACCACCUAAGGAGCCACACUAUCCUCCACACACCCCGGUUUACAAGUCGCCACCUCCUCCAGCUCCAAUUUACAAGUCACCACCACCACCGGUGAAGCCAUACCAUCCAGCACCAGUUUAUAAGUCACCACCACCCCCUACGCCUGUUUACAAGUCACCACCACCACCAGUGAAGCCACACCAUCCUGCACCAGUAUACAAGUCUCCACCACCACCAACUCCAGUUUAUAAGUCACCACCUCCUCCAACACCCGUUUACAAGUCACCACCACCACCAGUGAAGCCAUACCAUCCUGCACCAGUAUACAAGUCACCACCACCUCCAACACCCAUUUACAAGUCACCACCACCACCAGUGAAGCCAUACCAUCCUGCACCAGUAUACAAGUCACCACCACCUCCAACACCCGUUUACAUGUCACCACCACCACCAGUGAAGCCAUACCAUCCUGCACCAGUAUACAAGUCACCACCACCUCUAACACCCGUUUACAAGUCACCACCACCACCAGUGAAGCCAUACCAUCCUGCACCAGUAUACAAAUCUCCACCACCACCAACUCCAAUUUACAAGUCACCUCCACCACCAGUGAAGCCAUACCAUCCUGCACCAGUAUACAAGUCUCCACCACCACCAACUCCAGUUUAUAAGUCACCACCACCACCGGUGAAGCCAUACCAUCCUACACCUGUGUACAAGUCUCCACCACCACCAACUCCUGUUUACAUGUCCCCACCACCACCAGUGAAGCCAUACCAUCCUACACCUGUGUACAAUUCUCCACCACCACCAACUCCCGUUUACAUGUCCCCACCACCACCAGUGAAGCCAUAUCAUCCUACACCUGUGUACAAAUCUCCACCACCACCAACUCUCGUUUACAAAUCACCACCACCACCCGUGAAGCCAUACCAUCCUUCACCAACACCACACCAUCCUACACCAGUAUACAAGUCUUCACCACCCCACUAUAUUUAUUCCUCUCCCCCUCCUCCCCACCAUUACUAAGAAGUGACUUCUUCAUUAUAUACGAGGUAAUUAAUAUAAACUUAAAACUUUCAAAAACAUAUGACUAAAAUGCAAUACAAUAAUAAGUUGCACAAUUUCUUCAUGCAAAACAUUAAUAUAAAUUAAAGACUUAUGUUGUCUACUUAUUUGGUUAGCUUUUAUCAUGUGUUCUCAUUCACUAUAUUACAUUCUUACGCAGGAAAAGCAUAAUGUUGAGGUCAAAGGAGGCAUUUUCAUUUACGAGAGACAAUGAUAAAAAGAAGAAAAUUAAAUUUUAUAUAGUAAAUAAUAAGGCGGAGUUCUUUUGUAGCUUCAUUUUAUCUAAUUUAGUGAUAUUGUUUUUGUACUCUAUUUUUAUAUUUUAUUUUUAUGUCUUUGUGUAUGUUUGUUCGAUCUCCUUGCUAAAUGCGGAGAUUAUGAGAUGAAUAAAAUCAAUUAUUACAAUAUAUAUGUUUUACCCUUCUCUGUCGUGUUUAAAUAUAGACUAUAAAACGCAAUGAUUAAUUUCAAGAUAUAAAAAAAUGUUGAAAAGGUUUGUAAAGUGGAACUAAUUAUAAUUAAGAGAGUCAGUUUAAGGCAGUGCCAAUCUGAUCUAAUCAAUUAAAGGCCCAAGUUUAGCAUGCAUGGGAAGAGUAGUAACUUGUGAUUCUAUUACUUAUAUUUAUUUUUUUACAUUUUAUUUCACAUUUAUGUAUUAUUAUUUAAUUUACGUAUUAUUUUAUACUAUUAGAAAAAAGAUAACAAUAAUAUUUUUGCAACAUUAAAGAAAAGAAGAAAAAUAAUAAUUAAAUAUUUUAACCCUAAAACAAUACCGAAACAGAAUUUAUUUAUUUUUUCAAAAGCAUUUUUCUAAAAAAUUGUUUAUGAAAAUAAGCAAUUUUUAAUAGCAAUUUUGAAUGUGCACAGGGUAAACCCCCGCUCCUAUGCAAUAGCUCGCAAAUCACAUAGGAAAGGUAACCCGCACUAGGCAAGCCGUAUACGACGAGCUCGACCCAGAAGGUAAACCCCUUGCUUUCGCUGGCAAGAGGUUUCGUACUUGAGACUUCCAACAUGGAAGUCCCAAGUUCAUAUUACUUUAUAUUUUUUUAAUUAAAAAAUUAUUCAAAUUUAAUUUAUUUUUUUUACUUAAAAGCUAUUUUUUGAAGUCAAUCCAUAGAGAUUAUGGAAGUCUCAAGUUCAUAUCACUUUAUAUUUUUUUAAUUAAACAAUUAUUCAAAUUUAAUUUUUUUUUUAUUUUUUACUUAAAAGCUAUUUUUUUUAAAGUCAAUCCAUAGAAAUUCUUAGUCCCUAAACGUCGACGUUUGCUAGAUUGAUCAAUAGAUUAAAAAAAUAAUAGGGAAAGGCAUAUAUUCCACCUGAACUUGUACUGAAAAGUCAGUCACUCAAAUUAUCAUGACUACCUAUUACAUACCUAUACUAUUCAAAAGUUAAUCUUUUACCCCCUAAAAUCGACGUGAUAAAAUAAAAUAAAAAUAAAUCAGGUGCUUCAAAUAAUUACUAGAAAAAAAAAAGUUAAAAAAAAACAUAAUUCUCCUUAUAUCCCCAACCCCCACCUCCCUUCUUCUUCGUACCUCAUACACACACACACCCGCCCCUUACAUCUCUUCUUCUUCAUACCACACUCUUUUCAUAUUCUUCACACCCAAAAAAGCUUAAAGGAAUCGGUAACAAGAGGCAAUAACAAUAAGUCACUUCAAAACAUCAUUUUUUACCCAUAAAUGUCCCAACAAGAAAUCAAAAUAGUACUAGGUGACAUAAUUAAGUUUUGUGGGUUUGAUUUGUGUUUGUUUAUGUCAUCGGAGGGUAAAAGUUUGGGGAUUCUUCGUCGUGGAGCUAUGGUUGAACUGUUUAAUAAACUCGAUGAACGAUCGAUUGAAAAAGCAAAGGAAAUUAUUUUCCCAUCAUUACUAUAUUUUAAGAAACGUCCAUGAAGAACAAUGAAAAAGUAAAAAUUGUGUUUGAAUCUGAAAAAUACUUGCAAUUGGACCUCGAUUUUCAUGGUCAAUCAAUGGAAGAAAUUGAAGGAGUCUUUCUGAGGUUCAUGUUGGAACGAAAGAAAUUAUUUAACCAUACAAAUCAACUUCAAAUUUCAGAAUGUUUUCUUGACGAUCAUUGUAAAAAACUUCUUCUUUGCAAUUAUGCUAUGAAGAAGAUAAAACUAUUAGAAAAAUUUAUAAUUAAUUAGAAACUAAUUAAUAUAAAAUAUAGCAAGCAAAAGAAAAAGUUAUUUUCUGACAUUGCGUUGACGUAUCGUUGAUGUGGCAGCUAGCGUAAUAUACCACAUAAUGUGAGAGAGGUAACACCUUGUAGGAUGGUAUAAGUUUACUUUUAGAUAGUAUAAAUAUGUAAUGAAUCGUCAUAAUAGCUUAAGUGUAUAACUGACUUUUCAAAAUAAAUUUAAACAGAAAUUUAUGUCUUUUCUCAAAAUAAUAUUAUCAAAAUUGCAAUAGUAAAGUGGCAAAAAUUUAUGGCGAAAAAGAGUGGUUAACUGCAUGCUAAAAUUAAAUAUGACUAGUAUGUAGGUACGUAGCAUAUAGCAAUCAUCCUGAAUAGCAUGAAGUCAUCACUAUAGUCAAAACGUUUGGUAACUAUUUUGUAUCCACAUCGAAAAUUUCAACAUUUUAAAUUUUUAAAUUUUAAAAACUCAUACAAUAAUUUAAAAUAUUUAAAACUAUAAGAUUGAAACAAAUAGGGAGCCUGUAAGAAUUAUUUCCUUAUUUUAAUUUGUUUACUUUUAUUUUACUUAUUAAUCCUUUCAAAAAGGGACGUUAAUCAUUUUACAAUAUUUUAAUUUUAAUUUUUUAUAUGAUAUAUUUAAGAUUUUAAAAUUAAAAAAUGUUAAAUAUAUUUUACAUAUUUUUUAUUCAACGCUAUAAAAUUCAAAAUUAAUCUUUACUUUCUAAAGUUGGUCCACAAUAUUAAUAAACUUGGUCCUCUUUAGAAAGUAAAGAUUAAUUUUUAAUUUUAAAGAAAAGACAGCUACAAAGUGAAAAGAAAUUUAGGAGUUUUAAUAUUUAGCAAUAUAUUUGAGAAUUAAGUAAAAUAAAAUAGUUUUUAAAUUUUUUGUGAAAUAAAAGUACCUAUAAAUUGAAAAGUCAUAAAUUAAAAAUGAUUAACUUAUAAAUUUUUAGCUAACUUUAUCUUACAAUUUUAUUUAGCUGUUAGCUUUUUUUUAAAAUUAAAAUAAGUCAGGAUUUUAUUACUAGUGAUUGAUAAAUACAAUUUAAAGAAGGGAAACAAAAUUAAAGUUAGAUAGUUAAGAAUAUCUCCCAUUUUGAUUAUAACAUGCUUCUCAAUUAAGAGUAACAAUUUUUUUAUUAAUUAUUUAUAGGGAUUUCACUAGCAAAAAUUGACAAAAUGUGAGAUCACAUACUCACAAUUCCAUUAAUGAAUAGUAUUGAUUUAUCGAAAAGUUGUAUUACAUUCAAAACGAGCUUUGUACUUGAGUCUUAUUAGCACAAUCUAAAAAAUAUUUUAUAAUUUGAAUUCUCAUUUCCUAAGGAACUAACUACUUAAAAUAAUCUUAACUAACUAAACACUAUAACAAAAACGUCAUUUCAUGACAAUAAAUAUACACAUUAAUAAAGAGUAUUAGAACAUUUAUAUGUAUAAGUUAAUUAUCGUCGAAUCUAAUGUCUCUAAAAAUUUAAGAGACAUUUACAAAAAAUUGUAAUUGCUGCUAGAAAUAUAUAUUUAGUUACAAUUAAAUUAUUGUCGCUAAAUAUUAUUUUUGAUGUAGUGAAAGGAUCAGGUCCACUGUGUAUCACAACCAACUAAUGGACCAGAUUCAUUAUUUGAUGCAUUUGAACAAAUAUGACUACAAGUCUAUUAAAGAAAGUUGAAUUUAUUAUAUUAAAGAAAGUUGAAUUUAUUAUUAAAAAAAAGUUAAAUUAAGAAUAAAACUAAUAGCUAGAUUCCAAUCAAAGUAAAAUGAAUUUUAGCCAUCAAGACGCAAACGGCAAAUACAUACGCAUUAAAAAAAAUAAUUAAAUUUUGGGAUAUUUUUCAUUUUUUAAAUUAAUUUAAUUAUUUGAUUUUCAAGACUACUUUAGAGUGUUUUUUCAAUUUAUUCUUCAUUAGUUAGUAUUGAAAUUAGUGGUUUAUUAAUAUUUAGUUAUUUUAAUUAUGAAUUUGAUAAUAAUUUAUAAAGAUAAAAAAUUGAAAAAUUAUAUUCAAUUUAUAUCUUAAUCUAAUUUUCUUAAAAAAUAUAAAAUAUCUUAAAGAUUCAAUUAGUAUGGAAUGAAGAGAGUGGUGAUUUAGAAAGGAUUCAGAGUUAACAGUAGUGCCAAAUGAAUGUUAUUGCUAAAGAAUUAUUCGAAUCGAAAUUUAGCGGUGCUGAAAAAAUUAUUCCAACGACUUUCUAAUCAUAUCUGAAAGUACACCUAACACAUCCUGAGUUAGCUAGAAGUUAUAACCAUUUAAAAUUGACCAAAAACUCACUUUAACUUGUCAAAUUUCAAGCUUUUCAAUUCAUUUCAAAAAAUAAAUAUUUCCAAUUUUCUACACUUCCUUCUAGUUUCUUUUUAGUUGCGAGAUGUUACAUCUUUUUUCUCAAUUUUCUCACUCAAAUUUGAACUCAAACUUUUUGGAAGACGUAGUAAUAAAUAUUAGUUGAAACUGAUAAAUGAUGAGUACUUUUUAUGAAAAUAAAAAAAAAUAGAUGAGAUUGAAUUUCUUAAAAUUUUCAAAUAUUAGAAAUUGUCGCAAAUACUAGUUUUUUUUUUAAUAUUUGAAAUACUUAGCAAAUAUAUUUGCCACAUCAUAUUGCCAAAACACCAUUUCCUAAUUUUCCCUAAAUUUUCCUGAUUUUUUUCCAGCCAAUCGGGUUAGUCAUCGUUAUCAAUUAAUAUUAUUAUCUGAUUGGAAAUAAUAAAUGAUGCAAGUCUUUAAAAUAAUAGACUUAAAAGACAAAUAAUGGAAGUCUUUGAAAUAAUAGACUUAAAAGUAUUUGACGAAAUAUUUAUUUGUUAAAAGAAAUAUUUAAGAAAGUUACUAGUGAAUUUCCACAUGGAAAAAAUCAAAAUGCUACAAGCACAUCUAUGAAUAUAAAGAAGACAUUAGUAAGGAGGAUAAAGUUGAUAAAAUUGUUAUUUCCCCCUUAAUUUUUCUUUUUUUUUCUAUUCUUGAUUUAAUUUUCUUUUGAAAAAUUGAUAAAGUUUGGGAAAAAAAAUUCAAAAACUUAAAACAGAUAUACUUGAUGUAUCCUAAUUUUUGUAAAUCUUUUGUCUAAUAUUUAUGCAUUAUGUUAUUGAAAUAUAUAUGAAAGCAGCAAAAAUUUAUAAUUUUAGUUAUAUUAUUAAUUAUUGACAUAAUCAAAUAAUUAAAUUUUAAAAAAUUCAAAUCAAAUAAAGGAAAAUCAAAUUAAAUAAAACAAUUUAUUUUGAUUCAAAAUGAAUUAUAUAUUUUUAAAAUUAAAAAUCGAAAAAUCCAAAAAAUAGUUGUAUAAAAUCGAAUACAUACCCCCUUAUAAGGCCCCAACCGUAGUCACUCUCUUUCUCUCACCCUCCCUCUAUUCUACCAAACCACAUUCUUUUCUAAAAUUUUAAAAUUAACAAAUAGUUUUAAUAUAAACAUACUGAAAUUAUUCUAUUUCUAAAUUUCUAAAACUUUUUUUUUUUUUUAUCAUUUUGUUGUAACAACCUUCAUUCAUCAUGGAUGAAGUUUAAGGAAAUAGUGGCUAAAAAUAGGAAAGAAGAAGAAAGAAAAAAAAUAAUCAAAAAUUAGCUAAAUCAAUUUUUCACACGAUGUCAACCAAUAAAUCAGAUUAAUUAUGUCAUGUCGGUAAAAAAAUGUUCAAAUAAUACAUCGGGUCCAAGUCAUGACAUAAGAAGUUUUAAAUUAAAAAAAAAAAUUGACAAAAAUUAAUAUCAAUAAUUUAGGUAGCCAUUAAUGGAUACAAUCUAAAAAUUAAGUUGAGUAGAUCAAAUACAAUUAUGGGAAAGAAUCUGAUAUCAAUAAUGCAUGAUAAAGUAAAUAAUAUAUAGUACUUAAUAAGUUACUAUUAUCUACAUAAUUUUUCAUUAUGAGAACAGAAAAAAGUUAUUUUUCCUCUAUUGUUUAUGAAAGUGACUUUGCAGAAUAUUAUAUAGGUGAAAAGGAUCUCAUAACAGUAGAAUAUAUAUUAAUUUCUUAUUCAAGAAAAUUACAAUUAUGACUUCAGAAAAAGUUUAGGGAAAUAUUAUAAUAUCGACAAAAUUACGUUGGAUAGCACUACUCUAUUGUAUGACUUAUUUAGCCACCAUUUAAUAAUGAAAAAAUAGUAUAUAAUAGCAAACUAUUAAUUCAAAUUAAAUGUUAUAACUAUAGUUUGAUUUAAUUAAAUUUGAUAGCAAACUAAUGUUAUCUCGCUUCUCUGGUGAAUCUCGUUCGCCGCUCUCGUUUCUCUCUCUUUUAUACAAACACAAAUGUAUAAAAUAUUUUUGUGUUUGUAUAAAAUGAGAGAAAGUUGUAUUUAUACAUAUAUUUCGUUCUCCUCUCUUCCCUCUCCCAGAUCUCACUCGCUCUCUCACUUAAUACAAAUAAAAAUGUAUAGAUUAUGUUUGUAUAAAGCGAGAAAAAAUUGUGUAUACAAAUACAAAUACAAUAUUCCCUGCCUAGUUUUCUUUUGUCUUUCUCUCUUUCUUUCUUUAUACAAAUACAAAUUACACAAUUGAUCUUUUGUAUAUAUAUACCAAAGCAGAUUCUGCAACUAUUUUCUUUUGUAGAUGUAUAACGAAAUUAUACAACGUUUUUCUUUUGUAUAUGUAUAGCGAAAUAUAUAUAUUUAUGUUUGUUAUGGAGCACAACUAUGCAAACUAUAACUAUAGCAUACAAAUAUGAUUUUUAUGUUCGCUAUAUGUGAAAGUUACUCUUUUAUUAAUUUGAUAUUAGAGGAGACGGAGAUUUUAAGUUCUAAGUCACCAAAAAUUCAUACUAUAAAAAGGAAUUAAGCAUGUCAUUAUAUGUAAGAGGUUGGGUCGUGUUUUAAUUUAUGUGGCAUUUUUUCAAUUUUGAAAAAUAAAUAUUUUAUUGUUAUUUUGAUUUUGGACAUAAAACUCUGAAGUUUUUUAAUUUAAAGUUACAUAAAACAUAUUAUUUUGUGUGUCCCAAUUUAUAUGACUUUUUUUUAUUUUAGUUAAUCCAAAAAAAUGAAAUAUUUUUAUAUUUUGUGACAAAUUCUCGAUUUAAUAUUUUUAUUACCUUAAAUAAAAUAAUUUAUGAAUUAUUUUAGAUCAAAAGUUUCAAAAGUCUUAAUUUAACUCUUCAACUUCGUACAUAAUCAAACGUUUUCACAUUAAUAAUUGGGAUGGGGAAAGCAAAAGUAUAUAUAUAUCUAUAAUAUAUAUAUAUAUAUAUAUAUAUAUAUAUAUAUAUAUAUAUAUAUAUAUAUAUAUAUAUAUAUAUAUAUAUAUAUAUAUAUAUAUACACACUCAAUGGGUCAAGCAUAAAAUCAGUAAUUCUCGCCCAAAAGUUCAUAUCAUCCUCAAUGAAUUGAAAAGAUAAUUCGAAUUAUUUAAUCUUGAAUCAGAGAUCUCACGAUUACUUUAAAUUAUUUAAAAUUUAAAUUUUCCAAAUCGAUCUUAUAAUUUUUUUUUUUAUUUUAUCCCUGCCUUAUCUGAAUAUGUAGGAAGCGGUAUACCUCAUAGUAGACUCACCUAUACCGAUCCAAAUUAAUUGAGCCAGUACUAUUAAAUAUCGAAUAAUUAAACUGAAGUAACUUCCAUGUCAACUCUUACUUCUAUUUAUUUAUAUACAUAAAUGUAAUAAAGAAAAGCCACAUGAUUGUUUUCUAAUUUUAAAUCAGAAAAUACUAAUUUAGGAGAGAAGGCAACCAAUUAAUUUUUUUAAACCAAAUAUAAAAUAAGUAAUAAUUAGCAAAAAAAGACAAGAGUGGUUUAAAAUAAAGUUAAGGAGAUCUUGGAAUUGUUGUCCAAGUGGAAGGUAAACGCGUAGAAAUUGACGUGCAUAACAUGCAAAAAAAAAAAAUUAAAAAAUUAAAGUAGGUGAGAUUUGGACUCUUAUUUUUAUAAACAAAAAAACAAAAGGGAAGCUACUGACUCAUAUUUAACGACUUUUCAAUUUUAUUUUACGUUUGAUAUUCGUAUUAAAGACUGAUUAACUCAUUUCACAUUAUGCAGAUUAUAAUCAUGAAAAAAAAUACUCUCCAUCAAUAAUAUUCUUAUAAUCAAGUUUUUAACUCAAAAUUUUGACUAAAAAAAUACAAUAUCAUCUAUUAUAUCAUAUUUUUUGACGAUAAUAUUUAACCAGUUAUAAAAUAACAAUAUUUUUUCCUUUAAGAAAAAUAUCCAAAAAGGUACAUUGCAAUUGUAUAGCUCAGCCACUUGACUAUAUAACGCGGGAUUCCCUUGCUUUGUUAUAUAUGUCUUUUACUUUUUAUUUUAUUUGAAUCUAUAAUUGUGAUGAUUGAAUUUGAAUCACUUAACAUGUAUAUUUUUAUAUAUAAAAACUAGUUAUCGAUAAUGAGCCUAGUAAUAUUAACUUUAUGUUUAUAAUUAAUUUAAGUCGUAAAAACAAUUUACAGUUAGUUAUAAAAUGUAAUAAUACUUCAUCAAAAUAAUGGGAAAGCUUGAUCAAUCAAUAAUUGUUUCUUAAAAGACUCUUUUUAGUUUAUUGGUCAAAUAAAAGCGAGUUUUAACAAAAAAAAAAUAAAAUUAAAAGCAUUUCUCAAUAUAAAUUAAAUUCAAAAGUUUUAUCAAAUAGGUUAUUAGACAGAAAUAUUUUAAUGAAUAAUGUCAUAGUUCCAUCAUUUUAAUAUAAAUAAUGAGAUAUAUUGAAUUUAUCAUUUAACUUUUAUUAAUUGAUAUGAUUUCAAAUAUAUUUACUUACGAUAUUUUAAAAAAAAUAUUAACUCAAUAUUAAUAACCGAAAUAAUAAAUAAAAUUAAAGAUUAUUUAACAAGUAAAUUGGACCUGAGGAGCAAUAUAUAAGUAAUUUCAACUUGUGUCACAUAGUACAAUAUAAGGGCCGCCAUGGUACUUUUUAUCCACCAACUUUGAAGGUGUGUGGUUGGUAUAUAGGAAAUAAGUUAGAAUACACGUCCGUUCGGUAUUAUUUGUUAUAAUUUUUAUUUUUAAAGUUAAAUAAUAAAAAAUUUAACUAAUAUUUUAAGAUGUAUUUCUUUAUCAUAUUAAUAUGCAAAAAAUUAUAAUCGAUAAUAUUUUUCAUACAAUUUUAAAAUAACUAAUCUUUUUAAAAAAAAAUUAAUAUGAUCUAAUUUAUCUAUAAAAAUUAGUCAAAUUAACUUUUGAAAAAUAUAACAUGAUAAACCAUAGAAAAAGUUAACUAGUUCGGUGAAUUUAGAGUUGUGGUUCAAAACAUGUUAGUAUUAAAAAGAAUAGAAUUAUAUUUAAUUUUUUUAUGCUAUAAUAGUUAUGAUUGUUUUGUGCAGUUUCAUUUUAUAUAAUGAAUUAUAAACGUUUAAUUUAUGAAGAACAAAUUCUUAUUUUUCACCAUACCUACCCUUUCACAUUACAAUAAAAUAACUUUCAAAGGUAAUAAAUAGAUACAUGUAUCAAGAGUGUUAAAUUUUUUAUCAAUAUCAGUUAAGUGUCAUAUACAAAAGAAUUUUAGUUACUGUUAGAAAUAUAUAUUUAACGAUAAUUAUUAAUUAAUUACACUAAAAUUCAUUUUUAAUAUAAUAUCACUUUAUCAAUAACGAAUAUAACACAAUAGAUAAAAAUAUUUUUUUAAAACUUAGAGUUUAUAAAUUUGAUCCUUUAAAAAAUUUAGAUAGGAAAGCUUGCCCACAAAAUAAAGUUUUAUGCGAUAGUAAUACGAAGACAAUAAGAUAAAAGAGUCAUUCACCUUUUACUUUUUUGAAAAUUUCAAAUUCAAUCACAUCAACAUCAAAGUUUGAGACUAUUUUAAUUAAAUCAAAUAGUAUUGAGACUUUAAAGAGUUAGUUAUUGCUUUAAAUGUAAUUUUCUACCUCCACGUAGGAUCAUUUUGACUGAAAAAUCAUCUUCGAUUGAAAAUAUUUAAUGCCGUAUAUCAAUUGUACUACGUUUCUAUGGUUAAUACCAUAUAAUAUUAUUGUUCAUGCGUUAAAAUUUCAAACUUAAUUAGGUACAACGUAAUUUCAAAGGUUUACUCUAACGACAUAAUCAAAUACUUAUAAUUUUAUUAAAAGAAAAUUAGAAUAGGUCGGUUUCACUUAUAUUGUUGAAAUUUACAUCGUCAAAAAAAGAAGAUUAUUUUUUUUGCUUUUUUACAUAAAGUAAGAAAAUAAAUUUUAAGCUUUACUUAAUUUUAAAUCAUAGCUUAAGAUAUAAAGAUUGUUCAAACAGUAUUAAGAGACCGUCCAUUUCGUAAAGGGUGGAUAUAUUUAGGACUUUUUACUUCAAUUAUUUAAUAUUGAAUUUCAAUAUUAAAAUAAAAAUUGAAAUGAAUCAUUUUAGGACUAACUCAUCCUUCAAAAUUAGCUUUAGAUAUAGAAAAAUUCCAAGACAAAUAAAUCAUCUAUUGAUAAAAUUAAAUGUGAGACUCUUCAAAAGAAUCGAAAUAUGAGCACAUUAAAAUUUCCUAAAUUAAAUGAACUUUUUUCUUUUCACAAAAUAAGAAAGUUCAAUACAUAAGGAGAAAGAAAAGAAUGCACAAAGGAACCCAAAUUUACCAUGUUUUUAUAAGAAUGAAAAUAUUUUUUUUAUAUAGAAAACAUGUUUUAAAAAAUAAAUACAUUCAUAACUAUAUAGAACAAAAAUAUUAUUUUGAUUUUUUUGAAAUAUUUGGCUAAUUAAAUAUGAAAAAAAAAUUAUUGUGUGAUAGAUUCCCACAAUGUAUACUUGUAGUAUUUAUAUUUUAUAAUAUAAGUAUAUAUUAAUGAUAUGAUUAUCUUUACUUAUUUUAUUGGUAAGAAAAUGUAUACAUGUGUAAUAACUAAAGUUUCACAUGCUUUCUACUUUUCUUCUAGAAUUAUGAUUAUUUUGAUUAUUUUAUUUAUAUUCUUUGGUGACUAAGAUUACGAAACUAUGGGAAAAGUCCUCAAACCACGGCUAGAGUCAUAUCAUAAUAUUGGUCCCAUUAUUAUCUUACCUACAAUUAUUAUUUCUCAAUUUCUACAUGAUAUAUAUAUAUAUAUAUAUAUUUAUGUUUAUAAUAAUAUUUUAUUCUUAAAUAUACACAGAGUAAAAAUAUAUUAAUAAUCACAUUUUUAUUUCUAUAAAAUAGUGAUAAAAUAUGUAUAUGGAGUGCUUUAUCAUUUCAGGCUUCACUGAGUAAAUUUUACUGAAUAUAUUAUUGUUGUUGUUUAUUGAAUAUGAAUGCAGAUAAAAACUACUCCAGCAUUGAAUCCCACCAUCCCAAAUAACUAUUAGGUGAAAAUGACAUUUGAAAUUAACAUGCACGUAAAAAUGGAUUUGAAUAUGAAAUGAAGUUGAUUGGGUAACAAGAAAUUGAAGUCAUUUUUUAUGAGGUCCCUCUUCAUUAAACUUUCAUAUAGUUUUCAUUAUAUUGAAAUAAAUAAAAUGUGAAAAUGUAAGCAUGCACACAAUAAAUUUCAAAGUUACGUAAGAACAGUUGUGAUUGAUAAAAAUUAAUAAGUGUUUAAUUUUUUGCCUCAACAACUAAUAGAAUAUUCUCUGAAGGCCAGGUCCGGUUUCAUUUAUUUUAUUUUAGUUAAUAAUAGAGUGACAGCUCAAUCUACUAAUAAUUUUAAUAAAUAAUCAAAUUAUAAUUAAUUGAUUUAUUAAUAUAUAUUUGUGAUUAUAAGUGAUGAGUUGAAGGCUAUAAAAGCAGGGUUUGUGGAGGGUACAUUGGCACAGCAAACAUGGCUAAAAUAGCCUAUCUUCUUACCACUCUUUUAGUGGCUUUAGUGUCACUUAGCUUCCCUUCAGAAUGCAAAGCAAAUUACUACUACACAUCUCCACCUCCACCAACUCCAGUUUAUAAGUAUAAGUCUCCGCCACCACCAGUUUAUAAGUACAAGUCACCACCACCACCUCCUCCAAUCUAUAAAUCCCCACCGCCACCCAUUUAUAAGUAUAAAUCUCCACCACCACCUCCAGUUUACAAGUACAAAUCUCCACCACCACCCGUCUACAAGUACAAGUCUCCUCCACCACCACCUCCAGUUUACAAGUACAAAUCUCCACCACCACCUGUCUACAAGUACAAGUCUCCUCCUCCUCCACCUCCAGUUUAUAAGUACAAAUCUCCACCACCACCCGUCUACAAGUACAAGUCUCCCCCACCACCCGUUUACAAGUACAAGUCUCCACCACCACCUGUCUAUAAGUACAAGUCUCCACCUCCACCUGUCUACAAGUACAAGUCUCCACCACCACCAGUAUACAAGUACAAGUCUCCACCACCUCCAGUAUACAAGUACAAGUCUCCACCACCUCCAGUAUACAAGUACAAGUCUCCACCACCUCCAGUCUAUAAGUACAAGUCUCCACCUCCACCCGUUUACAAAUACAAGUCUCCACCACCUCCAGUCUAUAAGUACAAGUCUCCACCUCCACCCGUUUACAAAUACAAGUCUCCACCACCUCCAGUCUAUAAGUACAAGUCUCCACCUCCACCCGUUUACAAAUACAAGUCUCCACCACCUCCAGUCUACAAGUACAAGUCUCCACCUCCACCCGUUUACAAAUACAAGUCUCCACCACCUCCAGUCUAUAAGUACAAGUCUCCACCACCUCCAGUCUAUAAGUACAAGUCUCCACCACCUCCAGUCUACAAGUACAAAUCUCCACCACCACCCGUUUACAAAUACAAGUCUCCACCACCUCCGGUCUACAAGUACAAAUCUCCACCACCACCCGUCUACAAGUACAAGUCCCCACCACCUCCAGUCUACAAGUACAAGUCUCCACCACCACCCGUCUAUAAGUACAAGUCUCCACCACCUCCAGUCUACAAGUACAAGUCUCCACCACCACCUAUUUACAAGUACAAAUCUCCUCCACCACCAGUUUACAAAUACAAGUCACCACCACCACCCGUUUACAAAUACAAAUCACCCCCACCUCCCGUUCACAAGUCUCCAGCCCCUUACUAUUACACUUCUCC
rnacentral:lncRNA from 1 species